rnacentral:rRNA from 1 species
UACGGAAGGUCCGGGCGUUAUCCGGAUUUAUUGGGUUUAAAGGGAGCGUAGGCCGGCUUUUAAGUCAGCUGUGAAAGUCCGCGGCUCAACCGUGGAAUUGCAGUUGAAACUGGAGGCCUUGAGUGCACACAGGGGUGCCGGAAUUCAUGGUGUAGCGGUGAAAUGCUUAGAUAUCAGGAGGAACAUCGGUGGCGUAAGCGCUUUACUGGGCCGUAAUUGACGCUGAGGAACGAAAGCCAGGGUAGCAAAUGGG